rnacentral:rRNA from 1 species
UACGUAGGUGGCAAGCGUUGUUCGGAAUUACUGGGCGUAAAGGGCGCGUAGGCGGCCUGUUAAGUCGAACGUGAAAUCCCCGGGCUCAACCCGGGAACUGCGUCCGAUACUGGCAGGCUUGAAUCCGGGAGAGGGAUGCGGAAUUCCAGGUGUAGCGGUGAAAUGCGUAGAUAUCUGGAGGAACACCGGUGGCGAAGGCGGCAUCCUGGACCGGUAUUGACGCUGAGGCGCGAAAGCCAGGGGAGCAAACAGG